rnacentral:rRNA from 1 species
UCGAGCGGACAGAUGGGAGCUUGCUCCCUGAUGUUAGCGGCGGACGGGUGAGUAACACGUGGGUAACCUGCCUGUAAGACUGGGAUAACUCCGGGAAACCGGGGCUAAUACCGGAUGGUUGUUUGAACCGCAUGGUUCAAACAUAAAAGGUGGCUUCGGCUACCACUUACAGAUGGACCCGCGGCGCAUUAGCUAGUUGGUGAGGUAACGGCUCACCAAGGCAACGAUGCGUAGCCGACCUGAGAGGGUGAUCGGCCACACUGGGACUGAGACACGGCCCAGACUCCUACGGGAGGCAGCAGUAGGGAAUCUUCCGCAAUGGACGAAAGUCUGACGGAGCAACGCCGCGUGAGUGAUGAAGGUUUUCGGAUCGUAAAGCUCUGUUGUUAGGGAAGAACAAGUACCGUUCGAAUAGGGCGGUACCUUGACGGUACCUAACCAGAAAGCCACGGCUAACUACGUGCCAGCAGCCGCGGUAAUACGUAGGUGGCAAGCGUUGUCCGGAAUUAUUGGGCGUAAAGGGCUCGCAGGCGGUUUCUUAAGUCUGAUGUGAAAGCCCCCGGCUCAACCGGGGAGGGUCAUUGGAAACUGGGGAACUUGAGUGCAGAAGAGGAGAGUGGAAUUCCACGUGUAGCGGUGAAAUGCGUAGAGAUGUGGAGGAACACCAGUGGCGAAGGCGACUCUCUGGUCUGUAACUGACGCUGAGGAGCGAAAGCGUGGGGAGCGAACAGGAUUAGAUACCCUGGUAGUCCACGCCGUAAACGAUGAGUGCUAAGUGU